CACUUCCUACGGGGCGCAGCAGUGAGGAAUAUUGGUCAAUGGGCGGGAGCCUGAACCAGCCACGCCGCGUGAAGGAAGAAGGCGCCAAGCGUCGUAAACUUCUUUUGUCGGGGAACAAAGGGCGCCACGUGUGGCGUUGUGAGUGUACCCGAAGAAAAAGCAUCGGCUAACUCCGUGCCAGCCGCCGCGGUAAUACGGAGGAUGCGAGCGUUAUCCGGAUUUAUUGGGUUUAAAGGGUGCGUAGGCGGUCCGGAAAGUCAGCGGUAAAAGCCCGGGGCUCAACGCCGGCGAGCCGUUG
rnacentral:rRNA from 1 species